UGUAGGGAAGGGUGAGGUCAAGAGAACGGAGGGGAAGGAGAGGAACAGCAGUGGAGUUUCUGGUCCAGGCGCCGGGGAGGAGUGUGGAGUCCGUGAGCGUCAUGGAGAUGUCAGGGGGAAGAGCUCAUUGUGGGAAGAUGACUUUGGUCUGAAAACACUUAGAGUUUGAUGUGCAGGUGGAGUUGCCCCACAGGCAUCAGGAUGGCGGGUGCAGUCGGGGUUCUGGAAGCAGAUUUAGAGUCCUCCUCUGGGAAGCAGUCAUUGAGAUCAGCGUUCGUGGUCCAGAGAGGAGCCUGCAGGCUGGAGGUCCGCCAGGGGCUCCCCAGACAGAGGCUAGGGUGCAGGGAGAGCCGGGGGCCUGCAUUUGAAUCCCAGCUGCACAGCCCAUGACCUUGGGCACGUCCUUGAGCGUCUCUGUGCCUCAGUCUGGUCACAGUGCCCGGGGGCAUUUGGAGAAGCCGGUGAGGCGCCAGGGAGGUGCAGGGGUGCUGGGGGAGGGCUGGUGGAACUCCCCAGGGGUGGAAGGGUGCGGGCGAGGGCACAGAGCCUGUGUUAGCUCGUGGUCACGGGGGGGUUCCAGCGCCCCUCUGGUGGUUGGCGUUCCUGGUGAGACCUCAGCACGCAGCUCUUUCUCUGACGGCGGCCGAGGGGGCUGCGAGUGUGUGGGGGGAACAGCGGGUUCCCGGUGCAGCCUCGUCCUUUCUCCUUGAGUAGGAGGCAGCGGCCGCAGGGGGAGCACGAGAAGAUGCCCAGCCUUGAACACAGCGAAUGGCACUAAACGUUGGAAACUCAGGAAAACCGGCCAGACGGACACAAGGAAGCCAUCCUCCCACGUCUGAGGGCGCGUGCGACUCCUCCUGGACCACCAGCAGCAUCUGUCAGGUCACAGGACUGCUGAGGUCUGCACAGCGGGGGGUCUGGCUGCUUAGUGGAAAUCUGAGGUUUUCUUCAAGUGCAGUGUGCCCUUAUUUAGUUUUUUUUCUGAAGAUGGGUCAUCUGGGGCCUGGAGGCGGCUGGAUGGAGAGGGUUCUGCACAGAGCCCGGGGGCUGGGCUUUUUCUUUCUGCCGAGGGAUCAAAGCUGGCAGGUGGACAAGGAGCGUCCGGGAGACAAUGUGCAGGGAUCACCGGGGACCCCUUGGGUUAGAGAUUUUAAUCUUUCCCCCAUAGCGAAGGGGUUGUGUGUGUGUGUAUUUGUUGUUGAGACUUUAAAGGUAAUUUAGAGAACAAAACUAAGGAAGUAAAUGUCACAUGAACUCUGCUGAAAGUGAGAUGCGGGCAUCUUUUCUACAUGUGCACGUUUCCCCCCCAAACGGGACUGUAUACAUGAUUUUGUGACCUGCAUUUGUUGCUUAACGGUAAAUCAUGGUGUCUUUUGUCGUCUCUUAAAAAUUAAUCUCUUAUAAAUAAUUUUAACUCA